rnacentral:lncRNA from 1 species
UUUUGGACGAGCCAUGAAAGAGGUAUUUAUUGAGGAAUUUUUGCGUGUCCUUUGUUUUCGAGUCGUGUUUGGUCGGUUUUAGGGCAAAUUCUAGACAAGCUGUCAUAUAUGGGUACCUAACUUGGAAAAAUUCUGUGAGUAGCAUUUUUAAGCAUGGAUUGGGUAGCCAUAAGUUAUUUUGGACGAGCCAAGAAAGAGGUAGUUAUCAAGGAGUUUUUGCGUGUCCUUUGUUUUCGAGUCGCAUUUGGUCGGUUUUAGGGCAAAUUCUGGACAAGAUGUAAUAUAUGGGUCCUAACUUGGAAAAAUUAUGUGAAUGGCAUUUCUUAAGCAUGGAUUGGGUAGUAAAAAGUUAUUUUGGAGGAGCCAUGAAAGAGGUAUUUAGCGAGGAGGUUUUGUGUGUCCUUUGUUUUCGAGUCGCAUUUGGUCGGUUUUAGGGCAAAUUCUGGACAAGCUGUCAUAUAUGGGUACCUGAGUUGGAAAAAUUCUGUGAGCAGCAUUUUUUAAGCAUGCAUUAGGUAGCCAUAAGUUAUUUUGGAUGGGCCAAUAAAGAGGUAGUUAUCGAGUNNNNNNNNNNNNNNNNNNNNNNNNNNNNNNNNNNNNNNNNNNNNNNNNNNNNNNNNNNNNNNNNNNNNNNNNNNNNNNNNNNNNNNNNNNNNNNNNNNNNNNNNNNNNNNNNNNNNNNNNNNNNNNNNNNNNNNNNNNNNNNNNNNNNNNNNNNNNNNNNNNNNNNNNNNNNNNNNNNNNNNNNNNNNNNNNNNNNNNNNNNNNNNNNNNNNNNNNNNNNNNNNNNNNNNNNNNNNNNNNNNNNNNNNNNNNNNNNNNNNNNNNNNNNNNNNNNNNNNNNNNNNNNNNNNNNNNNNNNNNNNNNNNNNNNNNNNNNNNNNNNNNNNNNNNNNNNNNNNNNNNNNNNNNNNNNNNNNNNNNNNNNNNNNNNNNNNNNNNNNCUGCACAAGCUGUCAUAUAUGGGUACCUAACUUGGAAAAAUUCUGUGAGCAGCAUUUUUAAGCAUGGAUUGGGUAGCAAUAAGUUAUUUUGGAUGAGCCAAGAAAGAGGUAGUUAUCAAGGAGUUUUUGCGUGUCCUUUGUUUUUGAGUCGCGUUUGGUCGGUUUUAGGGCAAAUUAUGUACAAGACAUCAAAUAUGGGUACCUAACUUGGAAAAAUUCUGUGAGAAGCAUUUUUUAAGCAUGGAUUGUGUAGCAAUAAGUUAUUUUGGAUGAGCCAAGAAAGAGGUAGUUAUCAGGUAGUUUUUGCAUGUCCUUUGUUUUUGAGUCGCGUUUGAUCGGUUUUAGGGCAAAUUAUGUACAAGACGUCAUAUAUGGGUACCUAACGUGGAAAAAUUCUAUGAACGACAUUUUUAAGCAUGGAUUGGGUAGUAAAAAGUUAUUUUUGGCAAGCCACGAAAGAGGUAGUUAUCGAGGAGUUUCUGCGUGUCCUUUGUUUCCGAGUCGCGUUUGGUAGGUUUUAGGGCAAAUUCUGUAACAGAUGCCAUAUAUGGGUACCUAACUUGGAAAAUUUCUAUGAACGACAUUUUUUAAGCAUGGAUUGGGCAGCAAAAAGCUAUUUUGGACGAGACACAAAAGAGGUAUUUAUCGAGCAGUUUUUCCGUGUCCUUUGUUUUCGAGUCGGGUUUGGUCGCUUUUAGGGCAAAUUCUGGACAAGCUGUCAUAUAUGGGUACCUGACUUGGAAAAAUUCUAUGAGCAGCAUUUUUUAAGCAUGGGGUAGCAAUAAGUUAUUUUGGACGAGGCAAGAAAGAGGUAGUUAUGGAGUAGUUUUUGCAUGUCCUUUGUUUUCGAGUCGCGUUUGGUCGGUUUUAGGGCAAAUUUUGUACAAGACGUCAUAUAUGGGUACCUAACGUGGAAAAAUUAGGUAAACGACAUUUUCUAAGCAUGGAUUAGGUAGCAAAAAGUUAUUUUGGAUGAGCCUUGAAAGAGGUGUUUAUCGAGGAUUUUUUGCGUGUCCUUUGUUUUUGAGUCGCGUUUGGUCGUUUUAGGGCAAAUUAUGCACAAGUUUUCAUAUAUGGGUACCUAACUUCGAAAAAUUCUGUGAGUAGCAUUUUUUAAGCAUGGAUUGGGUAGCAAUAAGUUAUUUUGGACGAGCCUAGAAAGAGGUAGUUAUCGUGGAGUUUUUGCGUGUCCUUUGUUUUUGAGUCGCGUUUUGUCGGUUUUAGGGUAAUUUCUGUACAAGACGUCAUAUAUGGGUACCUAACUUGGAAAAUUAUGUGAAUGGAAUUUUUUAAGCAUGGAUUGGGUUAUAAAAAGUUAUGUUGGACGAGCCACGAAAGUGUUAGUUAUCGAGGAGUUUUUGCGUGUCCUUUGGUUCCGAGUCGCGUUUGGUAGGUUUUAGGGCAAAUUCUGUAAUAGAUGCCAUAUAUGGGUACCUAACUUGGAAAAUUUCUGUGAACGACAUUUUUUAAGCAUGGAUUGGGCAGCAAAAAGUUAUUUUGGACGAGACACAAAAGAGGUAUUUAUCGAGCAGUUUUUCCGUGUCCUUUGUUUUCGAGUCGGGUUUGGUCGAUUUUAGGGCAAAUUUUGGACAAGCUGUCAUAUAUGGGUACCUCACUUGGAAAACUUCCGUGACCAGCAUUUUUUGAGCAUGGAUUAGGUAGCAAUAAGUUAUUUUGGAUGAGCCAGGAAAGAGGUAGUUAUCGAGUAGUUUUUCCGUGUCCUUUCUUUUUGAGACGCGUUUGGUCGGUUUUUGGGCAAAUUUUGUACAAGACGUCAUAUAUGGCUACCUAACAUGGAAAAAUUAUGUGAACAAAAUUUUUUAAGCAUGGAUUGGGUAGCAAAAAGUUAUUUUGGACGAGCCACGAAAGAGGUAGUUAUCGAGGAAUUUUUGCGUGUCCUUUGUUUUUGAGUCGCGUUUGGUUGGUUUUAGGGUAAAUUCUGUACAAGAUGUGAUAUAUGGGUACCUAACUUCGAAAUAUUCUGUGAACGACAUUUCUUAGCAUGGAUUGGGUAGCAAAAAAUUAUUUUGGGCAAGCCACCAAAGAGGUAAUUAUCGAGGAGUUUCUGCAUGUCGCGUUUGGUCGGUUUUAGGGCAAAUUCUAUAACAGAUGUCAUAUAUGGCAUUCUUUUAAGCAUGGAUUUGGUAGAAAAAAUUAUUUUGGACGAGCCACAAAAGAGGUAGUUAUCGAGGAGUUUCUGCGUGUCCUUUUUUUUGGAGUCGCGUUUGGUUGGUUUUAGGGCAAAUUCUAUAACAGAUGCCAUAUAUGGUACCUAACUCGGAAAAUUUCUGUGAACGACAUUUUUUAAGCAUGGAUUGGGCAGCAAAAAGUUAUUUUGGACGUGCCACGAAAGAGGUAUUUAUCGAGGAGUUUUUGCGUGUCCAUUGUUUUCGAGUCGCGUUUGGUCGGUUUUAGGGUAAAUGUACAAGAUGUCAUGUAUGGUUACCUAACUUGGAAAAUUUCUAUGAACGGAAUUUUUUAAGAAUGGAUUGUGUAGCUAAAGUUAUUUUGGACGAGCCACGAAAGAGGUAGUUAUAGAGGAGGUUUUGCGUGUCCUUUGUUUUCGAGUCGGGUUUGGUCGCUUUUAGGGCAAAUUCUGGACAAGCUGUCAUAUAUGGGUACCUGACUUGGAAAAAUUCUAUGAGCAGCAUUUUUUAAGCAUGGGGUAGCAAUAAGUUAUUUUGGACGAGGCAAGAAAGAGGUAUUUAUCGAGUAGUUUUUGCAUGUCCUUUGUUUUCGAGUCGCGUUUGGUCGGUUUUAGGGCAAAUUUUGUACAAGACAUCAUAUAUGGGUACCUAACGUGGAAAAAUUAGGUAAACGACAUUUUCUAAGCAUGGAUUAGGUAGCAAAAAGUUAUUUUGGAUGAGCCUUGAAAGAGGUGUUUAUCGAGGAUUUUUUGCGUGUCCUUUGUUUUUGAGUCGCGUUUGGUCGGUUUUAGGGCAAAUUAUGCACAAGUUUUCAUAUAUGGGUACCUAACUUCAAAAAAUUCUGUGAGUAGCAUUUUUUAAGCAUGGAUUGGGUAGCAAUAAGUUAUUUUGGACGAGCCAAGAAAGAGGUAGUUAUCGUGGAGUUUUUGCGUGUCCUUUGUUUUUGAGUCGCGUUUUGUCGGUUUUAGGGCAAUUUCUGUACAAGACGUCAUAUAUGGGUACCUAACUUGGAAAAUUAUGUGAAUGGAAUUUUUUAAGCAUGGAUUGGGUUAUAAAAAGUUAUGUUGGACGAGCCACGAAAGUGUUAGUUAUAGAGGAGUUUUUGCGUGUCCUUUGGUUCCGAGUCGCGUUUGGUAGGUUUUAGGGCAAAUUCUGUAAUAGAUUCCAUAUAUGGGUACCUAACAUGGAAAAUUUCUGUGAACGACAUUUUUUAAGCAUGGAUUGGGCAGCAAAAAGUUAUUUUUGACGAGACACAAAAGAGGUAUUUAUCGAGCAGUUUUUCCGUGUCCUUUGUUUCGACUCGGGUUUGGUCGGUUUUAGGGCAAAUUUUGGACAAGCUGUCAUAUAUGGGUACCUCACUUGGAAAACUUCCGUGACCAGCAUUUUUUAAGCAUGGAUUAGGUAGCAAUAAGUUAUUUUGGAUGAGCCAAGAAAGAGGUAGUUAUCGAGUAGUUUUUCCGUGUCCUUUGUUUUUGAGACGCGUUUGGUCGGUUUUUGGGCAAAUUUUGUACAAGACGUCAUAUAUUGGUACCUAACAUGGAAACAUUAUGUGAACGAAAUUUUUUAAGCAUGGAUUGGGUAGCAAAAAGUUAUUUUGGACGAGCCACGAAAGAGGUAGUUAUCGAGGAAUUUUUGCGUGUCCUUUGUUUUUGAGUCGCGUUUGGUCGGUUUUAGGGUAAAUUCUGUACAAGAUGUGAUAUAUGGGUACCUAACUUCAAAAUAUUCUGUGAACGACAUUUUUUAGCAUGGAUUGGGUAGCAAAAAAUUAUUUUGGGCAAGCCACCAAAGAGGUAAUUAUCGAGGAGUUUCUGCAUGUCGCGUUUGGUCGGUUUUAGGGCAAAUUCUGUAACAGAUGUCAUAUAUGGCAUUCUUUUAAGCAUGGAUUUGGUAGAAAAAAUUAUUUUGGACGAGCCACAAAAGAGGUAGUUAUCGAGGAGUUUCUGCGUGUCCUUUGUUUUGGAGUCGCGUUUGGUCGGUUUUAGGGCAAAUUCUAUAACAAAAGCCAUAUAUGGUACCUAACUCGGAAAAUUUCUGUGAACGACAUUUUUUAAGCAUGGAUUGGGCAGCAAAAAGUUAUUUUGGACGUGCCACGAAAGAGGUAUUUAUCGAGGAGUUUUUGCUUGUCCUUUGUUUUCGAGUCGCGUUUGGUCGGUUUUAGGGUAAAUGUACAAGAUGUCAUGUAUGGUUACCUAACUUGGAAAAUUUCUAUGAACGGAAUUUUUUAAGAAUGGAUUGUGUAGCUAAAGCUAUUUUGGACGAGCCACGAAAGAGGUAGUUAUAGAGGAGGUUUUGCGUGUCCUUUGUUUUCGAGUCGCGUUUGGUUGGUUCAAGGGCAAAUUCUGUACAAGAUGUCAUAUAUGGGUACCUAACUUAGAAAAAUUCUGUGAACGACAUUUUGUUAGCAUGGAUUGGGUAGCAAAAAGUUAUGUUGGACGAGCCACUAAAGAGGUAGUUAUCGAGGAGUUUUUGCGUCUCCUUUGUUUUCCGAGUCGCGUUUGGUUGGUUUUAGGGCAAAUUCCGUACACGAUGUAAUAUAUGGGUACCUAACUUGGAAAAAUUAGGUGAACGACAUUUUUAAUUAUGGAUGGGGUUAUAAAAAGUUAUGUUGGAGGAGCCACGAUAGAGUUAGUUAUCGAGGAGUUUUUGCGUGUCCUUUGUUUUCGAGUCGCGUUUGGUCAGUUUUAGGGCAAAUUCUGUACAACAUGUCAUAUAUGGGUACCUAACUUUGGAAAAAUUCUGUGAAUGGCAUUUUUUAAGCAUGGAUUGGGUAGCAGAAAGUUAUUUUGGAAGAGCCACGAAAGAGGUAGUUAUCGAGGAGUUUUUGCAUGUCAUUUGUUUUCGAGUCGCGUUUAGUCGGUUUUAGGACAAAUUCUGUACAAGAUGUCAUAUAUGGGUACCUAACUUGGAAAAAUUCUGUGAGUGACAUUUCCUAAGCAUGGAUUGGGUAGCAAAAAGUUAUGUUGGACGAGCCACUAAAGAGGUAGUUAUCGAGGAGUUUUUGCAUGUCCUUUUUUUUCGAGUCUCGUUUGGUCGGUUUUAGGGCAAAUUCUGUACAACAUGUGAUAUAUGGGUACCUAACUUUGGAAAAAUUCUGUUAAUGGCAUUUUUUAAGCAUGGAUUGGGUAGCAAAAAGUUAUUUUGGAAGAGCCACGAAAGACGUAGUUAUUGAGUCACGUUUCGUCGGUUUUAGGCCAAAUUCUGUACAAGAUGUCAUAUAUGGGUACCUAACAUGGAAAAAUUCUAUGACCGGCUUUUUAAGCAUGGAUUGGGUAGCCAAAAGUUAUUUUGGACGAGUCAUGAAAGAGAUAGUUUUUGCGUGUCCUUUGUUUCGAGUCACGUUUGGUCGAUUUUAGGGCAAAUUUUGUACAACAUGUCAUAUAUGGGUACCUAACUUGGAAACAUUCGGUGAACGACAUUUUAUAAGGAUGGAUUGGGUAGCAAAAAUUUCUGUUGGACGAGCCACGAAAGAGGUAGUUACCGAGGAGUUUUUGCAUGUUCUUUGUUUUUGAGUCGCGUUUGGUCGGUUUUAGGGCAAAUUCUGUAAAAGAUGUAAUAUAUGGGUACCUAAAUUGGAAAAAUUAUGUUAACGGCAUUUUUAAGCGUGGAUUGGGUUAUAAAAAGUUAUGUUGGACGAGCCACGAAACAGUUAGUUAUUGAGGUGUUUUUGCGCGUCCUUUGUUUUCGAGUCGCGUUUGGUAGGUUUAAGGACAAAUUAUGCACAAGUUUUCAUAUAUGGGUACCUAACUUGGAAAAAUUAUGUAAACAGCAUUUUUUAAGCAUGGUUUGGGUAGCAAAAAGUUAUUUUGGACAAGCCAUGAAAGAGGUAUUUAUCGAGGAGUUUUUACGUGUCCUUUGUUUUGGAGUCGCGUUUGGUCGGUUUUAUGGCAAAUUCUGGACAAGCUAUCAUAUAUGGGUACCUAACUUGGAAAAAUUCUGUGAGCAGCAUUUUUUAAGCAUGGAUUGGGUAGCAAUAAGUUAUUUUGGAUGAGCCAAGAAAGAGGUAGUUAUCGAGUAGUUUUUGCAUGUCAUUUGUUUUGGAGUCGCGUUUGGUCGGUUUUAGGGCAAAUUCUAUACAAGAUGUCAUAUAUGGGUACCUAACAUGGAAAAAUUAUGUAAACGACAAUUUUUAAGCAUGGAUUGGGUAGCAAACAAUUUUUUUUGACGAGCCAUGAAAGAGGUAUUUAUCUAGGAGUUUUUACGUGUCCUUUGUUUUCGAGCCGCGUUUGGUCGGUUUUAGGGCAAAUUCUAGACAAGCUGUAAUCUAUGGGUACCUAACUUGGAAAAAUUCUAUGAGUAGCAUUUUUAAGCAUGGAUUGGGUAGCAAUAAGUUAUUUUGGACGAGCCAAGAAAGAGGUAGUUAUCAUGGAGUUUUUGCGUGUCCUUUGUUUUUUGAGUCGCGUUUGGUUGGUUUUAGGGCAAAUUCCGUACAAGAUGUAAUAUAUGGGUACCUAACUUGGAAAAAUUAUGUAAAUGGCAUUUUUAAUUAUGGAUUGGGUUAUAAAAAGUUAUGUUGGAGGAGCCACGAUAGAGUUAGUUAUCGAGGACUUUUUGCGUGUACUUUGUUUUCGAGUCGCGUUUGGUCGGUUUUAGGGCAAAUUCUGGACAAGCUGUCAUAUAUGGGGACCUAAUUUGGAAAAAUUCUGUGAGCAGCAUUUUUUAAGCAAGGAUUGGGUAGCAAUAAGUUAUUUUGGAUGAGCCAAGAAAGAGGUCGUUAUCAAGUAGUUUUUGCAUGUCCUUUGUUUUCGAGUCGCGUUUGGUCGGUUUUAGGGCAAAUUCUGUACAACAUGUCAUAUAUGGGUACCUAACUUUGGAAAAAUUCUGUGAAUGGCAUUUUUUAAGCAUGGAUUGGGUAGCAAAAAGUUAUUUUGGAAGAGCCACGAAAGACGUAGUUAUUGAGUCACGUUUCAUCGGUUUUAGGCCAAAUUCUGUACAAGAUGUCAUAUAUGGGUACCUAACUUGGAAAAAUUCUAUGACCAGCUUUUUAAGCAUGGAUUGGGUAGCCAAAAUUUAUUUUGGACGAGCCAUGAAAGAGGUAGUUAUCAAGGAGUUUUUGCGUAUCCUUUGUUUCGAGUCGCGUUUGGUCGGUUUUAGGGCAAAUUUUGUACAACAUGUCAGAUAUGGGUACCUAACUUGGAAACAUUCGGUGAACAACAUUUUUUAAGAAUUGAUUGGGUAGCCAAAAGUUAUGUUGGACGAGCCACUAAAGAGGUAGUUAUCGAGGAGUUUUUGCGUGUCCUUUGUUUUCGAGUCGCGUUUGGUCGAUUUUAGGGCAAAUUCUGUACAACAUGUCAUAUAUGGGUACCUAACUUUGGAAAAAUAAUAUGAAUGGCAUCUUUAUGCAUGGAUUGGGUAGCAAAAAGUUAUUUUGGAAGAGCCACGAAAGAGGUAGUUAUCGAGUCACGUUUGCUCGGUUUUAGGGCAAAUUCUGUACAAGAUGUCAUAUAUGGGUACCUAACUUGGAAAAAUUCUAUGACCGGCUUUUUAAGCAUGGAUUGGGUAGCCAAAAGUUAUUUUGGACGAGCCAUGAAAGAGGUAGUUAUCAAGGAGUUUUUGCGUGUCCUUUGUUUCGGGUCGCGUUUGGUCGGUUUUAGGGCAAAUUUUGUACAACAUGUCAUAUAAGGGUACCUAACUUGGAAACAUUCGGUGAACGACAUUUUAUAAGGAUGGAUUGGGUAGCAAAAAUUUAUGUCGGACGAGCCACGAAAGAGGUAGUUACCGAGGAGUUUUUGCAUGUUCUUUGUUUUUGAGUCGCGUUUGGUCGGUUUUAGGGCAAAUUCUGUACAAGAUGUAAUAUAUGGGUACCUAACUUGGAAAAAUUAUGUUAACGGCAUUUUUAAGCGUGGAUUGGGUUAUAAAAAGUUAUGUUGGACGAGCCACGAAAGAGUUAGUUAUCGAGGUGUUUUUGCGCGUCCUUUCUUUUCGAGUCGCGUUAGGUAGGUUUAAGGACAAAUUAUGCACAAGUUUUCAUAUAUGGGUACCUAACUUGGAAAAAUUAUGUAAACAGCAUUUUUUAAGCAUGGUUUGGGUAGCAAAAAGUUAUUUUGGACAAGCCAUGAAAGAGGUAUUUAUCGAGGAGUUUUUACGUGUCCUUUGUUUUCGAGUCGCGUUUGGUCGGUUUUAGGGCAAAUUCUGGAGAAGCUAUCAUAUAUGGGUACCUAACUUGGAAAAAUUCUGUGAGCAGCAUUUUUUAAGCAUGGAUUGGGUAGCAAUAAGUUAUUUUGGAUUAGCCAAGAAAGAGGUAGUUAUCGAGUAGUUUUUGCAUGUCAUUUGUUUUUGAGUCGCGUUUGGUCGGUUUUAGGGCAAAUUCUAUACAAGACGUCAUAUAUGGGUACCUAACGUGGAAAAAUUAUGUAAACGACAUUUUUUAAGCAUGGAUUGGGUAGCAAACAAUUUUUUUGACGAGCCAUGAAAGAGGUAUUUAUCUAGGAGUUUUUACGUGUCCUUUGUUUUCGAGCCGCGUUUGGUCGGUUUUAGGGCAAAUUCUAGACAAGCUGUCAUCUAUGGGUACCUAACUUGGAAAAAAUUUAUGAGUAGCAUUUUUAAGCAUGGAUUGGGUAGCAAUAAGUUAUUUUGGACGAGCCAAGAAAGAGGUAGUUAUCAAGGAGUUUUUGCGUGUCCUUUGUUUUUUGAGUCGUGUUUGGUUGGUUUGAGGGCAAAUUCCGUACAAGAUGUAAUAUAUGGGUACCUAACUUGGAAAAAUUAUGUAAACGGCAUUUUUAAUUAUGGAUUGGGUUAUAAAAAGUUAUGUUGGAGGAGCCAUGAUAGAGUUAGUUAUCGAGGAGUUUUUGCGUGUACUUUGUUUUUGAGUCGUGUUUGGUCGGUUUUAGGGCAAAUUCUGGACAAGCUGUCAUAUAUGGGGACCUAACUUGGAAAAAUUCUGUGAGCAACAUUUUUUAAGCAUGGAUUGGGUAGCAAUAAGUUAUUUUGGAUGAGCCAAGAAAGAGGUAGUUAUCAAGUAGUUUUUGCAUGUCCUUUGUUUUCGAGUCGCGUUUGGUCGGUUUUAGGGCAAAUUAUGUACAAGACGUCAUAUAUGGGUACCUAACGUGGAAAAAUUCUGUGAACGACAUUUUUAAGCAUGGAUUGGGUAGCAAAAAGUUAUAUUGGACGAGCCACGAAAGAGGUAGUUAUCGAGGAGUUUUUGCGUGUCCUUUGUUUUUGAGUCACAUUUGGUCGGUUUUAGGGCAAAUUCUGUACAAGAUGUCAUAUAUGGGUAACUAACUUGGAAAUAUUCUAUGAACGGCAUUUUUAAGCAUGGAUUGGGUAGUAAAAAGUUAUUUUGGGCAAGCCACGAAAGAGGUAGUUAUCGAGGAGUUUCUGCGUGUCCUUUGUUUCCGAGUCGCAUUUGGUAGGUUUUAGGGAAAAUUCUGUAACAGAUGCCAUAUAUGGGUACCUAACUUGGAAAAUUUCUGUGAACAACAUUUUUUAAUCAUGCAUUGGGCAGCAAAAAGUUAUUUUGGACGAGACACAAAAGAGGUAUUUAUCGAGGAGUUUUUCCGUGUCCUUUGUUUUCCAGUCGGGUUUGGUCGCUUUUAGGGCAAAUUCUGGACAAGCUGUCAUAUAUGGGUACCUGACUUGGAAAAAUUCUAUGAGCAGCAUUUUUUAAGCAUGGGGUAGCAAUAAGUUAUUUUGGACGAGGCAGGAAAGAGGUAGUUAUCGAGUAGUUUUUGCGUGUCCUUUGUCCUCGAGUCGCGUUUGGUCGGUUUUAGGGCAAAUUUUGCACAAGACGUCAUAUAUGGGUACCUAACGUGGAAAAAUUAUGUAAACGACAUUUUCUAAGCAUGGAUUUGGUAGCAAAAAGUUAUUUUGGAUGAGCCAUGAAAGAGGUAUUUAUCGAGGAUUUUUGGCGUGUCCUUUGUUUUCGAGUCGCGUUUGGUCCGUUUUAGGGAAAAUUAUGCACAAGUUUUCAUAUAUAGGUACCUAACUUGGAAACAUUAUGUAAACAGCAUUUUUUAAGCAUGGUUUGGGUAGAAGAAAGUUAUUUUGGACAAGCCAUGAAAGAGGUAUUUAUCGAGGAGUUUUUACGUCUCCUUUGUUUUCGAGUCGCGUUUGGUCGGUUUUAGGGCAAAUUCUAGACAAGCUAUCAUAUAUGGGUACCUAACUUGGAAAAAUUCUUUGAGCAGCAUUUUUUUAGCAUGGAUUGGGUAGCAAUAAGUUAUUUUGGAUUAGCCAAGAAAGAGGUAGUUAUCGAGUAGUUUUUGCAUGUCAUUUUUUUUGAGUCGCGUUUGGUCGGUUUUAGGGCAAAUUCUAUACAAGACGUCAUAUAUGGGUACCUAACGUGGAAAAAUUAUGUAAACAACAUUUUUUAAGCAUGGAUUGGGUAGCAAACAAUUUUUUUUGACGAGCCAUGAAAGAGGUAUUUAUCUAGGAGUUUUUACGUGUCCUUUGUUUCCGAGCCGCGUUUGGUCGGUUUUAUGGCAAAUUCUAGACAAGCUGUCAUCUAUGGGUACCUAACUUGGAAAACUUCUAUGAGUAGAAUUUUUAAUCAUGGAUUGGGUAGCAAUAAGUUAUUUUGGACGAGCCAAGAAAGAGGUAGUUAUCAAGGAGUUUUUGCGUGUCCUUUGUUUUUUGAGUCGCGUUUGGUUGGUUUUAGGGCAAAUUCCGUACAAGAUGUAAUAUAUGGGUACCUAACUUGGAAAAAUUAUGUAAACGGCAUUUUUAAUUAUGGAUUGGGUUAUAAAAAGUUACGUUGAAGGAGCCACGAUAGAGUUAGUUAUCGAGGAGUUUUUGCGUGUACUUUGUUUUCGAGUCGCGUUUGGUCGGUUUUAGGGCAAAUUCUGGACAAGCUGUCAUAUAUGGGGACCUAACUUGGAAAAAUUCUGUGAGCAGCAUUUUUUAAGCAUGGAUUGGGUAGCAAUAAGUUAUUUUGGAUGAGCCAAGAAAGAGGUAGUUAUCAAGUAGUUUUUGCAUGUCCUUUGUUUUUGAGUCGCGUUUGGUCGGUUUUAGGGCAAAUUAUGUACAAGACGUCAUAUAUGGGUACCUAACGUGGAAAAAUUCUGUGAACGACAUUUUUAAGCAUGGAUUGGGUAGCAAAAAGUUAUAUUGGACGAGCCACGAAAGAGGUAGUUAUCGAGGAGUUUUUGCGUGUCCUUUGUUUUUGAGUCGCGUUUGGUCGGUUUUAGGGCAAAUUCUGUACAAGAUGUCAUAUAUGGGUACCUAACUUGGAAAUAUUCUGUGAACGGCAUUUUUAAGCAUGGAUUGGGUAGUAAAAAGUUAUUUUGGGCAAGCCACGAAAGAGGUAGCUAUCGAGGAGUUUCUGCGUGUCCUUUGUUUCCGAGUCGCGUUUGGUAGGUUUUAGGGCAAAUUCUGUAACAGAUGCCAUAUAUGGGUACCUAACUUGGAAAAUUUCUGUGAACAACAUUUUUUAAGCAUGGAUUGGGCAGCAAAAAGUUAUUUUGGACGAGACACAAAAGAGGUAUUUAUCGAGGAGUUUUCCCGUGUCCUUUGUUUUCCAGUCGGGUUUUGUCGCUUUUAGGGCAAAUUCUGGACAAGCUGUCAAAUAUGGGUACCUGACUUGGAAAAAUUCUAUGAGCAGCAUUUUUUAAGCAUGGGGUAGCAAUAAGUUAUUUUGGACGAGGCAGGAAAGAGGUAUUUAUCGAGUAGUUUUUGCGUGUCCUUUGUCUUCGAGUCGCGUUUGGUCGGUUUUAGGGCAAAUUUUGUACAAGACGUCAUAUAUGGGUACCUAACGUGGAAAAAUUAUGUAAACGACAUUUUCUAAGCAUGGAUUGGGUAGCAAAAAGAUAUUUCAGAUGAGCCAUGAAAGAGGUAUUUUUGAGGAUUUUUGGCGUGUCCUUUGUUUUCGAGUCGCGUUUGGUCGGUUUUAGGGCAAAUUAUGCACAAGUUUUCAUAUAUGGGUACCUAACUUGGAAAAAUUCUGUGAGUAGCAUUUUUUAAGCAUGGAUUGGGUAGCAAUAAGUUAUUUUGGACGAGCCAAGAAAGAGGUAGUUAUCGUUGAGUUUUUGCGUGUCCUUUAUUUUUGAGUCGCGUAUGUUGGUUUUAGGGCAAAUUCUGUACAAGAUGUAAUAUAUGGGUACCUAACUUGGAAAAAUUAUGUGAAUGGAAUUUUUUAAGCAUGGAUUGGGUUAUAAAAAGUUAUGUUGGACAAGCCACGAAAGAGUUAGUUAUCGAGGAGUUUUUGCGUGUCUUUUGUUUUUGAGUCGCGUUCGGUAGGUUUAAGGGCAAAUUAUGCACAAGAUGUCAUAUAUGGGUACCUAACUUGGAAAAAUUAUGUAAACGGCAUUUUUUAAGCAUGGAUUGGGUAGCAAAAGUUAUUUUGGACGAGCCAUGAAAGAGGUAUUUAUCGAGGAGUUUUUGCGUGUCCUUUGUUUUCGAGUCGCAUUUGGUUGGUUUUAGGGCAAAUUGUGGACAAGCUGUCAUAUAUGGAUACCUAACUUGAAAAAAUUAUGUGUCCAGCAUUUUUUAAGCAUGGAUUAGGUAGCAAUAAGUUAUUUUGGAUGAGCCAAGACAGAGGUAGUUAUCGAGUAGUUUUUCCGUAUCCUUUGUUUUUGAGUCGCGUUUGGUCGGUUUUAGGGCAAAUUCUGUACAAGACGUCAUAUAUCGGUACCUAACAUGGAAAAAUUCUGUGAACAAAAUUUUUCAAGCAUGGAUUGGGUAGCAAAAAGUUAUUUUGGACGAGCCAUGAAAGAGGUAGUUAUCGAGGAAUUUUUGCGUGUCCUUUGUUUUUGAGUCGCGUUUGGUCGGUUUUAGGGUAAAUUCUAUACAAGAUGUCAUAUAUGGGUACCUAACUUGGAAAUAUUCUGUGAACGACAUUUUUAAGCAUGGAUUGGGUAGCAAAAAGUUAUUUUGGGCAAGCCACCAAAGAGGUAAUUAUCGAUGAGUUUCUGCAUGUCGCGUUUGGUCGCUUUUAGGGCAAAUUCUGUAACAGAUGUCAUACAUGGUACCUACAUUGGAAAUUUUCUGCGAACGGCAUUCUUUUAAGCAUGGAUUUGGUAGAAAAAAUUAUUUUGGACGAGCCACAAAAGAGGUAGUUAUCGAGGAGUUUCUGCGUGUCCUUUGUUUUUGAGUCGCGUUUGAUCGGUUUUAGGGCAAAUUCUAUAACAGAUGCCAUAUAUGGUACCUAACUUGGAAAAAAUUUGUGAACGGCAUUUUUUAAGCAUGGAUUGGGCAGCAAAAAGUUAUUUUGGAUGAGCCUUGAAAGAGGUAUUUAUCAAGGAGUUUUUGUGUGUCCUUUGUUUUCGAGUCGCGUUUGGUCGGUUUUCGGGUAAAUUAUGUACAAGAGGUCAUGUAUGGUUACCUAACUUGGAAAAUUUCUAUGAAUGGAAUUUUUUAUGAAUGGAUUGGGUAGCUAAAAGUUAUUUUGGAUGAGCCAAGAAAGAGGUACUUAUAGAGGAGGUUUUGCGUGUCCUUUGUUUUCGAGUCGCGUUUGGUUGGUUCAAGGGCAAAUUUUGUACAAGAUGUCAUAUAUGGGUACCUAACUUGGAAAAAUUUUGUGAACGGAAUUUUUUAAGCAUGGAUUGGGUAGCAAAAAGUUAUGUUGGACGAGCCACUAAAGAGGUAGUUAUCGGGGAGUUUUUGCGUGUCCUUUGUUUUCGAGUCGCGUUUGGUCGGUUUUGGGGCAAAUUCUGUACAACAUGUCANNNNNNNNNNUUUUUUUGGACGAGCCAUGACAGAGGUAUUUAUCGAGGAGUUUUUGCGUGUCCUUUGUUUUCGAGUCGCGUUUGGUCGGUUUUAGGGUAAAUUAUGUACAAGAGGUCAUGUAUGGUUACCUAACUUGGAAAAUUUCUACGAAUGGAAUUUUUUAUGAAUGGAUUGGGUAGCUAAAAGUUAUUUUGGAUGGGCCAAGAAAGAGGUAGUUAUAGAGGAGGUUUUGCGUGUCCUUUGUUUUCCAGUCGCGUUUGGUUUGUUCAAGGGCAAAUUUUGUACAAGAUGUCAUAUAUGGGUACCUAACUUGGAAAAAUUAUGUGAACGACAUUUUUUAAGCAUGGAUUGGGUAGAAAAAAGUUAUGUUGGACGAGCCACUAAAAAGUUAGUUAUCGGGGAGUUUUUGCGUGUCCUUUGUUUUCGAGUCGCGUUUGGUCGGUUUUAGGGCAAAUUCUGUACAACAUGUCAUAUAUGGGUACCUAACUUUGGAAAGAUUCUGUGAAUGGCAUUUUUUAAGCAUGGAUUGGGUAGCAAAAAGUUAUUUUGGAAGAGCCACGAAAGAGGUAGUUAUCGAGGAGUUUUUGCAUGUCAUUUGUUUUCGAGUCGCGUUUGGUCGGUUUUAGGGCAAAUUCUGUACAAGAUGUCAUAUAUGGGUACCUAACUUGGAAAAAUUCUAUGACCGGCUUUUUGCGUGUCCUUUGUUUUCGAGUCGCGNNNNNNNNNNAGGAGUUUGUGCGUGUCCUUUGUUUUCGAGUCGCGUUUGGUCGGUUUUAGGGCAAAUUUUGUACAACAUGUCAUAUAUGGGCACCUAACUUGGAAUAAUUCUAUGACCGGCUUUUUAAGCAUGGAUUGGGUAGCAGAAAUUUAUGUUGGACGAGCCACGAAAGAGGUAGUUACCGAGGAGUUUUUGCGUGUUCUUUGUUUUUGAGUCACGUUUGGUCGGUUUUAGGGCAAAUUCUAUACAAGAUGUAAUAUGUGGGUACCUAACUUGGAAAAAUUAUGUGAAAGGCAUUUUUAAGCAUGGAUUGGGUUAUAAAAAGUUAUGUUGGACGAGCCACGAAAGAGUUAGUUAUCGAGGAGUUUUUGCGUGUCCUUUGUUUUUGAGUCGUGUUUGGUAGGUUUAAGGGCAAAUUAUGCACAAGUUUUCAUAUAUGGGUACCUAACUUGGAAAAAUUAUGUAAACAACAUUUUUUAAGCAUGGAUUGGGUAGCAAAAAGUUUUUUUGGACGAGCCAUGACAGAGGUAUUUAUCGAGGAGUUUUUGCGUGUCCUUUGUUUUCGAGUCGCGUUUGGUCGGUUUUAGGGUAAAUUAUGUACAAGAGGUCAUGUAUGGUUACCUAACUUGGAAAAUUUCUAUGAAUGGAAUUUUUUAUGAAUGGAUUGGGUAGCUAAAAGUUAUUUUGGAUGAGCCAAGAAAGAGGUAGUUAUAGAGGAGGUUUUGCGUGUCCUUUGUUUUCGAGUCGCGUUUGGUUGGUUCAAGGGAAAAUUUUGUACAAGAUGUCAUAUAUGGGUACCUAACUUGGAAAAAUUCUGUGAACGACAUUUUUUAAGCAUGGAUUGGGUAGCAAAAAGUUAUGUUGGACGAGCCACUAAAGAGGUAGUUAUCGGGGAGUUUUUGCGUGUCCUUUGUUUUCGAGUCGCGUUUGGUCGGUUUUAUGGCAAAUUCUGUACAACAUGUCAUAUAUGGGUACCUAACUUUGGAAAGAUUCUGUGAAUGGCAUUUUUUAAGCAUGGAUUGGGUAGCAAAAAGUUAUUUUGGAAGAGCCACGAAAGAGGUAGUUAUCGAGGAGUUUUUGCAUGUCAUUUGUUUUCGAGUCGCGUUUGGUCGGUUUUAGGGCAAAUUCUGUACAAGAUGUCAUAUAUGGGUACCUAAAUUGGAAAAAUUAUAUGACCGNNNNNNNNNNGAGGUAGUUAUCGAGGAGUUUUUGCAUGUCAUUUGUUUUCGAGUCGCGUUUGGUCGGUUUUAGGGCAAAUUCUGUACAAGAUGUCAUAUAUGGGUACCUAACUUGGAAAAAUUCUAUGACCGGCUUUUUGCGUGUCCUUUGUUUUCGAGUCGCGUUUAGUCGGUUUUAGGGCAAAUUAUGUACAACAUGUCAUAUAUGGGUACCUAACUUUGGACAAAUUCUGUGAAUGGCAUUUUUAAGCAUGGAUUGGGUAGCAAAAAGUUAUUUUGGAAGAGCCACGAAAGAGGUAGUUAUCGAGUCACGUUUGGUCAGUUUUAGGGCAAAUUUUGUACAAGAUGUCAUAUAUGGGUACUUAACUUGGAAAAAUUCUUUGACCGGCUUUUUAAGCAUGGAUUGGGUAGCCAAAAGUUAUUUUGGACGAGCCAUGAAACAGGUAGUUAUCGAGAAGUUUUUGCGUGUCCUUUGUUUUCGAGUCGCGUUUGGUCGGUUUUAGGGUAAAUUAUGUACAAGAGGUCAUGUAUGGUUACCUAACUUGGAAAUUUUCUAUGAACGGAAUUUUUUNNNNNNNNNNNNNNNNNNNNNNNNNNNNNNNNNNNNNNNNNNNNNNNNNNNNNNNNNNNNNNNNNNNNNNNNNNNNNNNNNNNNNNNNNNNNNNNNNNNNNNNNNNNNNNACUUGGAAAAAUUCUAUGACCGGCUUUUUGCGUGUCCUUUGUUUUCGAGUCGCGUUUGGUCGGUUUUAGGGCAAAUUAUGUACAACAUGUCAUAUAUGGGUACCUAACUUUGGACAAAUUCUGUGAAUGGCAUUUUUAAGCAUGGAUUGGGUAGCAAAAAGUUAUUUUGGAAGAGCCACGAAAGAGGUAGUUAUCGAGUCACGUUUGGUCAGUUUUAGGGCAAAUUUUGUACAAGAUGUCAUAUAUGGGUACUUAACUUGGAAAAAUUCUUUGACCGGCUUUUUAAGCAUGGAUUGGGUAGCCAAAAGUUAUUUUGGACGAGCCAUGAAACAGGUAGUUAUCGAGAAGUUUUUGCGUGUCCUUUGUUUUCGAGUCGCGUUUGGUCGGUUUUACGGUAAAUUAUGUACAAGAGGUCAUGUAUGGUUACCUAACUUGGAAAUUUUCUAUGAACGGAAUUUUUUAAGAAUGGAUUGGGUAGCUAAAAGUUAUUUUGGACGAGCCAAGGAAGAGGUAGUUAUAGAGGAGGUUUUGCGUGUCCUUUGUUUUCGAGUCGCGUUUGGUUGGUUCAAGGGCAAAUUUUGUACAAGAUGUCAUAUAUGGGUACCUAACUUGGAAAAUUCUGUGAAUCAAAUUUUUUAAGCAUGGAUUGGGUAGCAAAAAUUUAUGUUGGACGAGCCACUAAAGAGGUAGUUAUCGAGGNNNNNNNNNNUUUUUAAGCAUGGAUUGGGUAGCAGAAAUUUAUGUUGGACGAGCCACGAAAGAGGUAGUUACCGAGGAGUUUUUGCGUGUUCUUUGUUUUUGAGUCACGUUUGGUCGGUUUUAGGGCAAAUUCUGUACAAGAUGUAAUAUAUGGGUACCUAACUUGGAAAAAUUAUGUGAACGGCAUUUUUAAGCAUGGAUAGGGUUAUAAAAAGUUAUGUUGGACGAGCCACGAAAGAGUUAGUUAUCGAGGAGUUUUUGCGUGUCCUUUGUUUUUGAGUCGUGUUUGGUAGGUUUAAGGGCAAAUUAUGCACAAGUUUUCAUAUAUGGGUACCUAACUUGGAAAAAUUAUGUAAACAACAUUUUUUAAGCAUGGAUUGGGUAGCAAAAAGUUUUUUUGGACGAGCCAUGACAGAGGUAUUUAUCGAGGAGUUUUUGCGUGUCCUUUGUUUUCGAGUCGCGUUUGGUCGGUUUUAGGGUAAAUUAUGUACAAGAGGUCAUGUAUGGUUACCUAACUUGGAAAAUUUCUACGAAUGGAAUUUUUUAUGAAUGGAUUGGGUAGCUAAAAGUUAUUUUGGAUGGGCCAAGAAAGAGGUAGUUAUAGAGGAGGUUUUGCGUGUCCUUUGUUUUCCAGUCGCGUUUGGUUUGUUCAAGGGCAAAUUUUGUACAAGAUGUCAUAUAUGGGUACCUAACUUGGAAAAAUUAUGUGAACGANNNNNNNNNNAUGUCAUAUAUGGGUACCUAACUUUGGACAAAUUCUGUGAAUGGCAUUUUUAAGCAUGGAUUGGGUAGCAAAAAGUUAUUUUGGAAGAGCCACGAAAGAGGUAGUUAUCGUGUCACGUUUGGUCAGUUUUAGGGCAAAUUUUGUACAAGAUCUCAUAUAUGGGUACUUAACUUGGAAAAAUUCUUUGACCGGCUUUUUAAGCAUGGAUUGGGUAGCCAAAAGUUAUUUUGGACGAGCCAUGAAACAGGUAGUUAUCGAGAAGUUUUUGCGUGUCCUUUGUUUUCGAGUCGCGUUUGGUCGGUUUUAGGGUAAAUUAUGUACAAGAUGUCAUGUAUGGUUACCUAACUUGGAAAAUUUCUAUGAACGGAAUUUUUUAAGAAUGGAUUGGGUAGCUAAAAUUUAUUUUGGACGAGCCAAGGAAGAGGUAGUUAUAGAGGAGGUUUUGCGUGUCCUUUGUUUUCGAGUCGCGUUUGGUUGGUUCAAGGGCAAAUUUUGUACAAGAUGUCAUAUAUGGGUACCUAACUUGGAAAAAUUCUGUGAAUCAAAUUUUUUAAGCAUGGAUUGGGUAGCAAAAAUUUAUGUUGGACGAGCCAGUAAAGAGGUAAUUAUCGAGGAGUUUUUGCGUGUCCUUUGUUUUCGAGUCGCGUUUGGUCGGUUUUAGGGCAAAUUUUGUACAACAUGUCAUAUAUGGGUACCUAACUUGGAAUAAUUCUAUGACCGGCUUUUUAAGCAUGGAUUGGGUAGCAGAAAUUUAUGUUGGACGAGCCACGAAAGAGGUAGUUACCGAGGAGUUUUUGCGUGUUCUUUGUUUUUGAGUCACGUUUGGUCGGUUUUAGGGCAAAUUCUGUACAAGAUGUAAUAUAUGGGUACCUAACUUGGAAAAAUUAUGUGAACGGCAUUUUUAAGCAUGGAUNNNNNNNNNNUUUUUUUGGACGAGCCAUGACAGAGGUAUUUAUCGAGGAGUUUUUGCGUGUCCUUUGUUUUCGAGUCGCGUUUGGUCGGUUUUAGGGUAAAUUAUGUACAAGAGGUCAUGUAUGGUUACCUAACUUGGAAAAUUUCUACGAAUGGAAUUUUUUAUGAAUGGAUUGGGUAGCUAAAAGUUAUUUUGGAUGGGCCAAGAAAGAGGUAGUUAUAGAGGAGGUUUUGCGUGUCCUUUGUUUUCCAGUCGCGUUUGGUUUGUUCAAGGGCAAAUUUUGUACAAGAUGUCAUAUAUGGGUACCUAACUUGGAAAAAUUAUGUGAACGANNNNNNNNNNUUGACCGGCUUUUUAAGCAUGGAUUGGGUAGCCAAAAGUUAUUUUGGACGAGCCAUGAAACAGGUAGUUAUCGAGAAGUUUUUGCGUGUCCUUUGUUUUCGAGUCGCGUUUGGUCGGUUUUAGGGUAAAUUAUGUACAAGAGGUCAUGUAUGGUUACCUAACUUGGAAAUUUUCUAUGAACGGAAUUUUUUUAAGAAUGGAUUGGGUAGCUAAAAGUUAUUUUGGACGAGCCAAGGAAGAGGUAGUUAUAGAGGAGGUUUUGCGUGUCCUUUGUUUUCGAGUCGCGUUUGGUUGGUUCAAGGGCAAAUUUUGUACAAGAUGUCAUAUAUGGGUACCUAACUUGGAAAAAUUCUGUGAAUCAAAUUUUUUAAGCAUGGAUUGGGUAGCAAAUAUUUAUGUUGGACGAGCCACUAAAGAGGUAGUUAUCGAGGAGUUUGUGCGUGUCCUUUGUUUUCGAGUCGCGUUUGGUCGGUUUUAGGGCAAAUUUUGUACAACAUGUCAUAUAUGGGCACCUAACUUGGAAUAAUUCUAUGACCGGCUUUUUAAGCAUGGAUUGGGUAGCAGAAAUUUAUGUUGGACGAGCCACGAAAGAGGUAGUUACCGAGGAGUUUUUGCGUGUUCUUUGUUUUUGAGUCACGUUUGGUCGGUUUUAGGGCAAAUUCUGUACAAGAUGUAAUAUAUGGGUACCUAACUUGGAAAAAUUAUGUGAACGGCAUUUUUAAGCAUGGAUUGGGUUAUAAAAAGUUAUGUUGGACGAGCCACGAAAGAGUUAGUUAUCGAGGAGUUUUUGCAUGUCCUUUGUUUUUGAGUCGUGUUUGGUAGGUUUAAGGGCAAAUUAUGCACAAGUUUUCAUAUAUGGGUACCUAACUUGGAAAAAUUAUGUAAACAACAUUUUUUAAGCAUGGAUUGGGUAGCAAAAAGUUUUUUUGGACGAGCCAUGAAAGAGGUAUUUAUCGAGGAGUUUUUGCGUGUCCUUUGUUUUCGAGUCGCGUUUGGUCGGUUUUAGGGUAAAUUAUGUACAAGAGGUCAUGUAUGCUUACCUAACUUGGAAAAAUUCUGUGAGCAGAAUUUUUUAUGAAUGGAAUUUUUUAUGAAUGGAUUGGGUAGCUAAAAAUUAUUUUGGAUGAGCCAAGGAAGAGGUAGUUAUAGAGGAGGUUUUGCGUGUCCUUUGUUUUCGAGUCGCGUUUGGUUGGUUCAAGGGCAAAUUUUGUACAAGAUGUCAUAUAUGGGUACCGAAGUUGGAAAAAUUAUGUGAACGACAUUUUUAAUUAUGGAUUGGGUUAUAAAAAGUUAUGUUGGAGGAGCCACGAUAGAGUUAGUUAUCGAGGAGUUUUUGCGUGUCCUUUGUUUUCGAGUCGCGUUUGGUCGGUUUUAGGGCAAAUUCUGGACAAGCUGUCAUAUAUGGGUACCUAACUUGGAAAAAUUCUGUAAACGGCAUUUUUAAGCAUGGAUUGGGUAGCAAAAAGUUAUUUUUGGACGAGCCAUGAAAGAGGUAUUUAUCGAGGAGGUUUUGCGUGUACUUUGUUUUCGAGUCGCGUUUGGUCAGUUUUAGGGCAAAUUAUGGACAAGCUGUCAUAUAUGGGUACCUGACUUGGAAAAAUUGUGUGAGCAGCAUUUUUUAAGCACGGAUUGGGUAGUAAUAAGUUAUUUUGGAUGAGCUAAUAAAGAGGUAGUUAUCGAGUAGUUUUUGCGUGUCCUUUGUUUUCGAGUCGCGUUUGGUCGGUUUUACGUCAAAUUCUGGACAAGCUGUCAUAUAUGGGUACCUAACUUGGAAAAAUUCUGUGAGCAGAAUUUUUUAAGUAUGGAUUGCGUAGCAAUAUGUUGUUUUGGACAAGCCAUGAAAGAGGUAUUUAUCGAGGAGUUUUUGCGUGUCUUUUGUUUUCGAGUCGCGUUUGGUCGGUUUUAGGGCAAAUUCUGCACAAGCUGUCAUAUAUGGGUACCUAACUUGGAAAAAUUCUAUGAGCAGCAUUUUUUAAGCAUGGAUUGGGUAGCAAUAAGUUAUUUUGGAUGAGCCAAGAAAGAGGUACUUAUCAAGUAGUUUUUGCAUGUCCUUUGUUUUCGAGUCGCGUUUGGUCGGUUUUAGGGCAAAUUAUGUACAAGACAUCAUAUAUGGGUACCUAAUGUGGAAAAAUUAUGUAAACAACAUUUUUUAAGCAUGGAUUGGGUAGCAAAAAGUUAUUUUGGACGAGCCAUGAAAGAGGUAUUUAUCGAGGAGUUUUGCGUGUCCUUUGUUUUCGAGUCGCGUUUGGUCGUUUUAGGGCAAAUUCUGGUCAAGAUGUCGUAUAUGGGUACCUAAGUUGGAAAAAUUCUGUGAGUAGCAUUUUUUAAGCAUGAAUUGGGUAGCAAUAAGUUAUUUUGGAUGUGCCAAGAAAGAGGUAGUUAUCGAGUAGUUUUUGCUUGUCCUUUGUUUUCGAGUCACGUUUAGUCGGUUUUAGGGCAAAUUCUGUACAAGACGACGUAUAUGGGUACCUAACGUGGAAACAUUCUGUGAACGACAUUUUUAAGCAUAGAUUGGGUAGCAAAAAGUUAUAUUGGACGAGCCACGAAAGAGGUAGUUAUCGAGGAGUUUUUGCGUGUCCUUUGUUUUUGAGUCGCGUUUGGUCAGUUUUAGGGCAAAUUCUGUACAAGAUGUCAUAUAUGGGUACCUAACUUGGAACUAUUCUGUGAACAACAUUUUUAAGCAUGGAUUGGGUAGUAAAAAGUUAUUUUGGGCAAGCCACGAAAGAGGUAGUUAUCGAGGAGUUUCUGCGUGUUCUUUGUUUCCGGGUCGCGUUUGGUAGGUUUUAGGGCAAAUUCUGUAACAGAUGCAAUAUAUGGGUACCUAACUUGGAAAAUAUCUGUGAACGACAUUUUUUAUGCAUGGAUUGGGCAGCAAAAAGUUAUUUUGGACGAGACACAAAAGAGGUAUUUAUCCAGGAGUUUUUCCGUGUCCUUUGUUUUCGAGUCGGGUUUGGUCAGUUUGAGGGUAAAUUCUGUACAAGAUGUCAUGUAUGGUUACCUAUCUUGGAAAAUUUCUGUGAACGGCAUUUUUUAAGCAUGGAUUGGGUAGAUAAAAGUUAUUUUGGACGAGACAUGAAAGAGGUUGUUAUCAAGGAGUUUUUGCGUGUCCUUUGUUUUUGAGUCGCGUUUGGUCGGUUCAAGGGCAAAUUAUGUACAAUAUGUCAUAUAUGUGUCGGUUCCCGGGCUGAUUUCCACGAUUGACGAACCCUGGGGUGCAUUUACUUGUCGGUCAUCAACACCCGCAGUUUUGGCCGAUUCUGGCCCGUUUCGUGCACUAUUACACACUGUUUUAGGGUCCCGGAGUGAUUUCCAUGAUUAACGAACUCUGG